GACGAACGCUGGCGGCGUGCCUAAUACAUGCAAGUCGAGCGGAGUUGAUGAGGUGCUUGCACCUCUGAUGCUUAGCGGCGGACGGGUGAGUAACACGUAGGUAACCUGCCUGUAAGACUGGGAUAACAUUCGGAAACGAAUGCUAAUACCGGAUACGCGAUUUUCUCGCAUGGGAGAAUCGGGAAAGACGGAGCAAUCUGUCACUUACAGAUGGACCUGCGGCGCAUUAGCUAGUUGGUGGGGUAACGGCUCACCAAGGCGACGAUGCGUAGCCGACCUGAGAGGGUGAUCGGCCACACUGGGACUGAGACACGGCCCAGACUCCUACGGGAGGCAGCAGUAGGGAAUCUUCCGCAAUGGACGAAAGUCUGACGGAGCAACGCCGCGUGAGUGAUGAAGGCUUUCGGGUCGUAAAGCUCUGUUGCCAGGGAAGAACACUUAGGAGAGUAACUGCUCUUAAGGUGACGGUACCUGAGAAGAAAGCCCCGGCUAACUACGUGCCAGCAGCCGCAGUAACAC
rnacentral:rRNA from 1 species